rnacentral:sRNA from 1 species
UAUUAAAAGGAGUCCUUUUUAGGCAAGGU